AUGGAGCGCGAGGCGCCGCAGCCGCAUCAGCUGCUGCUCCAUGGCGUCAGCCUCGACCUCCGCCUCGACACGGCCACGCACGAGCAGCGCGGCGCCCGGCGGCCACCUACUCCCGUGGCCCUCGACCAGGCCGGCAAGGAGGCCUUCUCCUGCAACUACUGCCACCGCAAGUUCUUCAGCUCUCAGGCGCUCGGCGGCCACCAGAACGCCCACAAGCUCGAGCGAACCCUCGCCAAGCGCAGCCGCGACGCCGACGCCACCGCAGCGGCAACCGCCACGCCUUCCUCUCACUGGCUCCACGGCGGUGGCAGGGAGCUCUGGGCGUACUCUGCUUCGGCCGCUGCCCCGGAUUCCACGACGAUGACGCCCAUGGUGGGCAUGGGCUGGGCUGGUACUGGCAGCACCACAGCGGCCGGCGGGGAGUCGGCGCCGGAGAUGGACUUGUCGCUCAAGCUCUGA
rnacentral:rRNA from 1 species